CUAGCGACUUCAGAGUUUGAUCCUGGCUCAGGAUGAACGCUGGCGGCGUGCCUAACACAUGCAAGUCGAGCGAGAAUUUACAGAAUGAAGCUUCGGCAGAUUUCUGUAAGGAAAGCGGCGGACGGGUGAGUAACGCGUGAGUAACCUGCCCUUAGGUGGGGGAUAACACAUCGAAAGGUGUGCUAAUACCGCAUAACAUAUAUUUACCGCAUGGUAGAUAUAUCAAAGAUUUAUUGCCUAAGGAUGGACUCGCGUCUGAUUAGAUAGUUGGUGAGGUAACGGCCCACCAAGUCGACGAUCAGUAGCCGAACUGAGAGGUUGAUCGGCCACAUUGGGACUGAGACACGGCCCAG
rnacentral:rRNA from 1 species